UAAUGCUGUGGAUACCUACAGCUGGCCAAACCAGUCUCACAGGUGCCUCUGUGGGUUCAACCCAAUUCAGCUCCAAAUCAACAGCACUAAUUAUAGUUGCCUGUGAAUCUGCACCUGCUUCACUUGGGGUUGGUAUAGGUGUCAGGCAGCAUGAGUUCACAACUUAGCUCAAAGCUCUCCUACAUUCAUCCCUGGGAUAUAUGGAGAGAAAGCAUUUUAACAAGUCCUAGAGCUUUGAUAAACAUAACAUACAUGAAUCAUAUGCUUUAAGAAAACCCAAACCCAAACAAAGAUAAUGGAACUGCAGCUCUGGCAAGCGGCCUGACCAUGAGACCAUCAUGCCGUCCUGGGAAACAAUCAUAUCCACUUCCUCACUGGAGUGUGGGCUGCUGCAAAAAUUGUGUGUUAUCAUGAAGAACGUGAAAAGCCCAGCUCUGUCUGUGGGUGUCCACCAAUGAAGCAACUUUUUUGAGGGUCUAAGUGUAACUAAAAUUAAGGACUUGUAAUUCUUUCAACUGAUACAGAUGAAUUAAUUAAUUCAAGUGACUACAAGGCCAAGCAGCUCUAGGAGCUAAUUUGUUCUCUGGGUUUGAAUAGAGUUCAGGAUUCCACCUGGGCACCACUCCUGAGGAAGUAGAAGCAGCAAUUAUCAGGAGUGGAAAAAUCACAAUGAUGUUAAAGCCAUGGCUCCUGUUUACAGCCCAAGCACAGCUGCACUCAACAUUUGUCAGUGAAAAAGAGGCCUCCAGCUGUCUUGUUGACAGGUACUAACCUUGCAUUGCUCUGCCACAAUAACGGAUUGUACUUAUGAUCAAAAAUAAAGUAUUCUGUUAUACCCCUGUAGCCACACACCCUUUCUGCCCUGUACUCAACAGCAUUUCCAUGCACAGUCAGUAAUUCAGUGCUUGUACAACUGUGCAAACAAUAACACUAGAUAGCACUGUUUCUUUUAAGAUCUUCUUUACAGAUCUCUGGUUGAAACAUAAUCCUGACCUAACCAUGCCCUCCUCUUCUAGAAAUGGGAUGGUAUUUGAAAAUAUGAUGGUACAAUGAAAGCCUGUGGAGCUGAGAAUGGGGACAUUUAAGCUGAAGUGUUUGAUCUUUGCACUCAGAGUUAAGCAUCAUUUAGACAGCCAAGUGGCUUAAUUUUCAGAAGGGCAGACUGACUGCAAAUGUGCUGGGUAAUUAACAUCCCAACAGUCCAUUUAAGUAACUUAAUAAUGUUAUCCCUGAUUUACAGAGUAGGCCUCUGGCUCGCAAAUCAAUAGCACAGCCAGAAGGAGAUCCCAGAGCACAUAACUCCCCCUCCAGCGCUUCUCUUCAUUAAGCAGUGAGUCAAGUUUAAACCUCUACAGAUAUUUUGUGGAUAGAACGGGUAACCUCCCGCAGCAGGUGGGGUCAAAACACAGGCAUGCCCUCACCAGGGACUUCCUAAGUAAUAUCAGAUCUGCCCACACCUUCAUUCCCUGAGCAACUUCCCAGGUUUUGACUGUCUCACAGAGAGAGUAAAAUCCAGCCUCAACCCAGUAGUGGCAGUAACAUGAGCUCCCCCCAGGGCCAAAAUUUUUGAUCACACACUCAGAAAUAUCUAUGUGAACAAUCCCCCUUUUAAUGUUAUUUCUGUAUAAAUUAUGCACUACUCCUUUCCAGCCAACAUUUUUUUUAUCAGCAAAAGUUAUUUGGUAAGGUUUUUGUUUUCAUACUGAGUUUUGAUUAAGGAGGAGGAAAAAAAGAGUUUCACUUCAUUUUCACAGUAUCUCUCGGCAGAGCAAGCACUCCUGUUUCUACUGUGGGAUUUUGUUUUUCUCUACAGUAUGUCUUGACAAAUAGCCCUCUCUGAUUACU